GUACAAGUAGCUUGCUACCCUUGCAGUUGCAAGCUCUGCCUUUUAGUUUUUUUGUUUCAUCUUGGGAACCACUUAAGGACCAAGUAUUUUCUGAGAAUGAUGCCUUCUUUGCAUGGACUUUUGUAAAACCAAGGCCUCUCUGGCAAACACUUCUUUCAUUUGUCUGGCCGGUGGUUACAUUGGCAAUAUGCUUGUUUCCUGUAUAUCCGCAUCGGUGCAAGCUACUAAUACUCUACUCAUGUCUCGGGGUCCUGCUACUUUUUUUUUUCUCUACUAGUUUGUAAGUUCUGAACUUCUGGUCAUUUGUUUUUAGUUUAAAAUAUCAUUAGGAACUUUACAUUUUCUUAAGUCUUAUUGGUUUACAGUGAUGUGGAUAUUAGAGUAUAAAUUAUGUUCA